rnacentral:rRNA from 1 species
AUUGAACGCUGGCGGCAGGCCUAACACAUGCAAGUCGAGCGGAUGAAGGGAGCUUGCUCCUGGAUUCAGCGGCGGACGGGUGAGUAAUGCCUAGGAAUCUGCCUGGUAGUGGGGGAUAACGUCCGGAAACGGGCGCUAAUACCGCAUACGUCCUUAGGUUGAAAGUUGGGGAUCUUCGGACCUCACGCUUUCAUAUGAGCCUAGGUCGGAUUAGCUAGUUGGUGGGGUAAAGGCCUACCAAGGCGACUAUCCGUAACUGGUCUGAGAGGAUGAUCAGUCACACUGGAACUGAGACACGGUCCAGACUCCUACGGGAGGCAGCAGUGGGGAAUAUUGGACAAUGGGCGAAAGCCUGAUACAGCAAUGCCGCGUGUGUGAAGAAGGUCUUCGGAUUGUAAAGCACUUUAAGUGGGGAGGAAGGGAAGUAAGUUAAUACCUUGCUGUUUUGACGUUAACAACAGAAUAAGCACCGGCUAACUUCGUG